rnacentral:rRNA from 3 species
CAAGGCGACGAUCCCUAGCUGGUCUGAGAGGAUGACCAGCCACACUGGAACUGAGACACGGUCCAGACUCCUACGGGAGGCAGCAGUGGGGAAUAUUGCACAAUGGGCGCAAGCCUGAUGCAGCCAUGCCGCGUGUAUGAAGAAGGCCUUCGGGUUGUAAAGUACUUUCAGCGGGGAGGAAGGUGUUGUGGUUAAUAACCGCAGCAAUUGACGUUACCCGCAGAAGAAGCACCGGCUAACUCCGUGCCAGCAGCCGCGGUAAUACGGAGGGUGCAAGCGUUAAUCGGAAUUACUGGGCGUAAAGCGCACGCAGGCGGUCUGUCAAGUCGGAUGUGAAAUCCCCGGGCUCAACCUGGGAACUGCAUUCGAAACUGGCAGGCUUGAGUCUUGUAGAGGGGGGUAGAAUUCCAGGUGUAGCGGUGAAAUGCGUAGAGAUCUGGAGGAAUACCGGUGGCGAAGGCGGCCCCCUGGACAAAGACUGACGCUCAGGUGCGAAAGCGUGGG